ensembl:lncRNA
UCGGGCUCCAUAUGUCCUCCUUGACUAAUUACUCCACACAAUAGGAGGAGGUGAGCCACCGUCCUAAAAUAAUAGCAACGAGGAGAAGGAGGGGAAGGAGACAAUGAGGAUCCAUUUAAGACCCGAUGGCAUGAGACUCUUCUAUCGAUGGUCUGGCCCGGAGCGGACUCACAGGGCUUCUGACCUCGCUUGUAAAGAAAAUGGAGAAAGAUUUAGGGAGAGAGCGCGCAGGGUGCUAGGGGAAGCAGCUCGCUGUGCAGCUGCUCUGGAUGCCUUUGGAUUACAUCAGAGUGGCUGAGAAAACAAGAGGCAGCGAGAGGGAGAGAGGGUGAGGAGGAGACACACUUCACACAUCACACAUGUUUCCACUGCUUGCUUUCUUUCCUAAGUACACACACACACACACUUUGACUCGCGCACACACACACACACAC